GUAAGAUAGCUUCUCCUGUCUUACUGCAGGAAGUCCUCAUCCCUGAGAUGAAGUGGAGAAAGGUAUGCCCUUCCUCCAGGUCCCUGUCUCUCCCAGACAACAUCCCUUGUGUCCCUCCAUCAUCCGUGGACUCCACAGACAGUUUCUUCCCCUCCAGGAAGCCUCCAAUGUCUGAAAAGUCAAGAGCCCAAGUAGCUUCAGAAAAUGGUGGGAGGUGGGCAUGGCCCAUGCCAGGCUGGGGUCCUGCCUGCCCUAAGAAGAUGCCGAACUGCUCUCCCACUGCAAAGAAUGCUGUCUAUGAGGAGGAUGAGCUGGAGGAGGAGCCCAGGAGCACUGGGGAGCUGAGGCUCUGGGAUUACCGGCUCCUCAAGGUCUUCUUUGUGCUGAUCUGCUUCCUGGUCAUGUCCUCAUCCUACCUGGCGUUCCGUAUUUCUCGGCUAGAGCAGCAGUUAUGCUCCUUGAGUUGGGACGGCCCAGUCCCUGGGCACAGGUAACAGCCACUUGGCCUUUGUCCCCAUUCCUUCUCCAAGAAGAAUGUUCUGGGUGCUAAGUCUCCACCAAUGAUCCCUGUGGUUUAUGCUGCUGCUGUGCUAAGACUGCCUAUGAAGGAAAAUAUUCCAGAUCCCUCCUCCUCCCCGCAGCUCUUCUCUUCCCUCUAUGAGAGAUCUGAAGUACGUGUUUACAAAGUAACUGGCUUCUACAAUUUUUGGACUCAAGCAAAAAGCCAGAUUUUUUGGAACCAACUGAGGAAUUCUGUACACAAAGCUUCAGCAAACACUUAGAGAAAACAAACAAACAAACAAACUGGGUCCUUGGAAACAGUUCUGGCACACAGGCAGAACACUGGAGGCCACCUCAAGGGACAGAGGCCAUGCUUUCGCAUUUGGAAUGUGGCUCUGCCACACAGCUCACUCCUAUGGUGGGGUCAGAGGUCAGAACACAAACCACCCAUGUGGGCUCUGCUCCCUCCCAACACUCUGUGUUCCCACAGGGCUUCUCUGCGGGCAGCCAGGCACCUGUC
rnacentral:sRNA from 1 species